rnacentral:rRNA from 1 species
GACAUAGGUCGCAAACGUUAUCCGGAAUUAUUGGGCGUAAAGGAUGCGUGGAUGGUUCAGUAAGUUACUGGUGGGAAAUCGAGGCCCAACCUCGUGGAAGUUAGUAAUACUGUUGAACUUGAGUGCAGGAGAGGUUAACGGAACUUCAUGUGGAGCGGUAAAAUGCGUAGAUAUAUGAAAGAACAUCAAUAUGGCGAAGGCAGUUAACUAUUCUGCUACUGACAUUGAGGCAUGAAAGCGUGGGGAGCAAAACGG